rnacentral:lncRNA from 1 species
AAAUAGAGUGAAACGAGUAGAGAGAGAGAGUGGGAGGGAACAGACCAGACCGACGACAAGAUCGAUUUAGUGUGUGCGGCAUGGGGUACGACAGAGAGGCCCAUAACUAGAAGGUCAGAGAGAGAAAACACGUGAUGGUGCGUGAAGAGAAGAAGGAGAACUGUAUCAUUGGCUAGGUGCGGGUCCACAUAUCCAUACCUUUCUCUUGCAUGAUUUGCCCAUAUCCGAGCGAGAUUUACGUGCACGACUCAUUCUGUGAUGAAUUCUGGCAUAAGCAUGGCAUUGCAUGGGUGGUUCUUGUGGCCAGUGUUAGUUCUGAUAGUCGAGCAUGAGGUGACAUGUAAUUCUCCAGUGGCAGCAUGUGGCGAACCAGGGAC